rnacentral:rRNA from 1 species
GACGAACGCUGGCGGCGUGCUUAACACAUGCAAGUCGAACGAAGUGGCGAACGGGUGAGUAACGCGUAAUCAACCUGCCCUUCAGAGGGGGACAACAGUUGGAAACGACUGCUAAUACCGCAUACUGAAGGAGGGGAUUGGGUCUGAUUAGCUAGUUGGAGGGGUAACGUCCCACCAAGGCGAUGAUCAGUAGCCGGUCUUGGAGGAUGGACGGCCACAGUGGGACUGAGACACGGCCCAGACUCCUACGGGGGGCAGCAGUGGGGAAUCUUCCGAAAUGGACGAAAGUCUGACGGAGCAACGCCGCGUGAGUGAUGACGGGCUGCGGGUUGUAAAGCGCUGUUAAUCGGGACGCGGUACCGGAAUAGAAAGCCACGGCUAACUACGUGCCAGCCGCCGCGGUAAUAC